rnacentral:rRNA from 1 species
AGCGAACGCUGGCGGCAGGCUUAACACAUGCAAGUCGAACGGAUCCUUCGGGAUUAGUGGCGGACGGGUGAGUAACACGUGGGAACGUGCCCUUAGGUUCGGAACAACACAGGGAAACUUGUGCUAAUACCGGAUGUGCCUCGUAAGAGGGAAAGAUUUAUCGCCUUUGGAGCGGCCCGCGUCUGAUUAGCUUGUUGGUGAGGUAAAGGCUCACCAAGGCUACGAUCAGUAGCUGGUCUGAGAGGAUGGCCAGCCACAUUGGGACUGAGACACGGCCCAAACUCCUACGGGAGGCAGCAGUGGGGAAUCUUGCGCAAUGGGGGAAACCCUGACGCAGCCAUGCCGCGUGGAUGAUGAAGGUCUUAGGAUUGUAAAAUCCUUUCAGCGGGGACGAUAAUGACGGUA